rnacentral:rRNA from 1 species
GCUUGUCUCAAAGAUUAAGCCAUGCAUGUCUAAGUGUAAAUAAGUCUAUACUGUGAAACUGCGAAUGGCUCAUUAAAUCAGUUAUCGUUUAUUUGAUGAUCUCUUACUACUUGGAUAACCGUAGUAAUUCUAGAGCUAAUACAUGCACAAAAUCCCGACUUACGAAGGGAUGUAUUUAUUAGAUGGAAACCAAUUCGGGGCAACCCGGUUCAUGGUGAUUCAUAAUAACUUUCGGAUCGACCUUUCGGUCGAUGCAUCAUUCAAGUUUCUGCCCUAUCAGUUGUGGAUGGUAGGGUAUUGGCCUACCAUGACUUUAACGGGUAACGGAGAAUUAGGGUUCGAUUCCGGAGAGGGAGCCUGAGAAAUGGCUACCACAUCCAAGGAAGGCAGCAGG